rnacentral:lncRNA from 1 species
CCUGGAUGGAGUAUGGGAGCUGCUCAAAGGAAUGUAGCUGUUGCAACUCAGGGUUUCCUGAACUCCAAGGCAAGGGACCUGAUGAAGACCUCCAACCUGGACUCUUUCUCCUCCUGAGCCAUACUUUGAAUCUCGGCAUUUGGGAGUCAGGGCAGGAGGAUCCCUGUGAGUUCUACACCAGCCAGGAUUAAGUAAUGAGUAAAAAUCAGGAAGAAAGAAAGAAAGAAAGAAAGAAAGAAA